UUUUUGUUAAGUAAUCAUAAUCAUAAGAUUUUAUAAAACAUACACAUAAGUUUAGUUGUUAUCUCCAUAAAAAGUUACUACCUUAACUUACUAAAUAAUAAGUUUAAAAAUCUACCUUGAAUCUACUUUGUUUUAUUAGAAAGGCAAUAAAAAAUGUUUUCAAGAAAAUAUCUUUUUACCGAGGUUUUUAUGAAGUCAUUAAGUUCAGUUUUUACAAAUUGUUAUUUUAAAACAUUAAACCAAGUUAACAACUAUUCAACAUUUCAUAAAUGGACAUUAGAUUAUUUCAGAAACCAACCACAAUACAAAAAGUUUGUAUUAAAAAAAUCUAUAGUUGAAGAUAACAAAUCUUUUAAAAACCCUAUCAUUUUAAGUACAACUUCUACUGACGAAUUACUUAUGAAAUAUUUUUCAUUAACAAAUUUUUCCCACUAUGAAAUUGAUAAAGAACUGGAAAAUAGAGUAAAUGAUAUGUCAAUUAACCAGAUACUUGCCUUAAUGGAUGGCUGUUUAUCUGGAAAAACCCAGUUUCACAAAAACUCAAAAUCAUUUAAAAAAUGCAUUGGAUUAAUGGAUGAAUUAUGGUUUCGAAGACCUGACUUAACUACUACACAAACUAUACAAUUGAUUUAUUAUGUUAGUAUAGACAAAAAUAAGUCAAAACAUGUGGUUGAAUGUGGAUUACAGAAAUUAAUGAAUGAAAUUAAUUAUUUGAAAACAUUAAGUGAUGAAGAAUUAAGUGUUAUAGCUGUGGCAACAUACAAAAGUAGUGCAAAAGUUUAUGAUAAAAUGCUGAGAAUAUUUGCCUACAGGGUUGAAAAAAACUUAGAUAAUCUCAUACAAAACCCUUUAAAUUUUGUAUCUUUAAUUAAACCAUUAAAAAAAGCUAAGUACCAUGACCCUGUACUAUUGGCCCAUCUAAUUAAUACUUUUAAUAGUAAUAAAAAUAACAAAGUUUUAGAAGAUGUAACUAGUAGCAUUCAUCUUCUUACAUACUUUGCAGAUGCUAAUUGUGGUGAUGUUAACUUUUUGCAAUACUUGAUUGAUUCUAUUGGGAAUAUUAUGAUUAAUGAUCGUUUGAAAGAUUACCGAAUUAAAGAUGUUUCUAAUUAUAUUUUUUCAGCCAGUUACUUAGGUCUAACUCCAAAGAAUCCUUAUGUCUGUAAAAUAAUUAAUGAUUUCUUAUAUGUUGUAUUUAACUCUAAAGAAAAAUGCCAAAAGAUGUCCAAAGCAUUAAUAGGAAUGUGCUUAUCAAUGUGGAUGUUGAAUUAUAAACCAAUACGAUUAAUGCAGUUUAUAUUUUUUGAAGUACCUGUUGCAGCAUUAAGAAUGCCCAAUGCUCACAAACAAGAUAAUAGACUCAAUCUUUUAUUAACGUGUGCUCAUAUUGAACAUCCCAAUUUAAUUAAGGGAUACCAUCAAUUAAUUGAAGAAACCACUAACUCCAUGCCUGAACCAUACAAACAUUUAGCGGAACGUCCAUUCUUGGUAAUGGUGUAUCAAUCUCUACAGACACUUUCUCAUGAAUUAAAUAUUAUGAAUAUGGAAUAUAAUUUCAGUAUACCUUACUUGAGAAUACUAGGAAUAAAAACGAUUAGAACAAAUGGUGAAAUCAUUUAUGUAGAAGUUUUGGACAAUAGCAAUUGUCUUUAUGGUACAUCAAUUCCAAAUGGUAUGAUGAAACUCAAAUUUCGUCUUGAGUCAAAGUUAAAUUUUUGUGUUAUAAAAGUAAACCAUAAAGAAAAAUCCUUGCAUAAUUCAAUAGCAUUGAAAUGCCACCUGAAGUCAUUACUAUCCAAUAAAUAAGGAACUUUUUUAUGCAAUAAAGUGCAAGAUUUAGAAGUAAUUAGAGCUAUGGAUUUUCUCGUAUCAAAAGAUAAUGUAUUGGGGUACAGCUAAAUAGUCACUAAUCAAUGUCACAGAAAUGUACACUGCUCGCAGACAAUUGAAUUGCUCUACACCUAUCCUAGAAUAAUCUGAAUAACACAUGUUGUGCAGGGAAAAAGCUGAGAUUUAUAUCCUUCAACUAUACAGUAAAAUCGGUCAGUGCCAUAAUGUGUAAAUGUAUUGAAUGCUAAAUUAACAAAUUUAAUUUUAAUCUUAUAUGCAUUCAAUAUCCAGCCACCCAGGUGUAGAUUUAAUGACUUAGUCAUCAUUAGCCAUGAGAUUAUUGCCUUCUGUCAAAAACUCGCUCAGAAUCAGAUCGUCCAGUAGGAUAAGUUAAGACAAAAGUGUAAUUUCAAUUCCAUCACAAAUAAAUAAUUGGAGGUAUAAAAAAUAGAUGCUUGUGUGUUUCAGACAAAAGUUUCUUAUAGUAUUAGUUGGAACCAAGAUGAUUGAAAACCUCCAAGUAAAGAGAACAAUGAACUAUUGACAGCAAGAAAUACUAACGAAAUAUAGUUUUCAGUUUUAUUAAUAGCUUAUCGUCUUUACUGUAGCUUAGUUUCAAUUUGUGUAUAGCAUGAACAUCAAAAAACGAAAGUGUUCAGUGUCUCUUACUAGGCGCAGAAACACACCGUUUUAUCACGCUUUACAUGGAUUACAGUUGUUGACAAAACUCAAUUUAAAUGUAACGGCUGAAUUGGAGCGUAUAUUGGACAAUAAGCCAGUACAAUCACCAAUUGUAUCAACUCUAGCAAUGAGAUGACAGUGUGCCCUCCGGUAUGUUGGGGCACAAGCAUGUCUACGAUGGCAUGAAAGAAAACAAUGACGAGUACGACAAAAAAGAACGAAAAGUGCCAUUUUGUGUGCUUCAAUGAAAAAAUAGUUUUUGUGGCGAAUGUUGUACUCAUUUAAGAAUUAUAGUUUGAAGUUUAAUAUACAUACAAUUUUAAUUGAUUA